GCGGAGGAAAAGAAAAUAACAAUGAUUUCCCUAGUAACGGCGAGUGAAGAGGAAAGAGCUCAAAGUUGGAACCUGUUUGGCCUAGCUAAACAGGAUUGUAAACUGUAGAAGUGUUUUCCAGGCAAUCCGAGUUAAUAAGUCCUUUGGAACAGGGCAUCAUAGAGGGUGAGAAUCCCGUCUUUGAUUCGAGAUAUUUUGUCUUUUGCGAUACACUUUCAAAGAGUCAGGUUGUUUGGGAAUGCAGCCUAAAUUGGGUGGUAAAUCUCACCUAAAGCUAAAUAUUGGCGAGAAACCGAUAGCGAACAAGUACCGUGAGGGAAAGAUGAAAAGAACUUUGAAAAGAGAGUUAAACAGUAUGUGAAAUUGUUAAAAGGGAACCGUUUGGAGCCAGACUGGCUUGUCUGUAAUCAAUCUAGGUUUCGUGCCUGGAUGCACUUGCAGACUAUUUGCCUGCCAACGACAAUUUUUUUUGAGUGUAAAAACUAUUGGAAAUGUGGCCAAUAUUUAUUUAUUGGUGUUAUAGUCCUUUAGAAAAUACCUUGAAUUGGAUUGAGGAACGCAGCGAAUGCUUCUCUUUUGAGGCAAAGUCUUUUAUUGGGAUUUACGGAUCAGACUGUGGCAUUGUCACAAGACUUGAAGUUUAAACCUAUU
rnacentral:rRNA from 1 species